rnacentral:rRNA from 1 species
UACGGGAGGCAGCAGUGGGAAUAUUGCACAAUGGGCGAAAGCCUGAUGCAGCGUAUGCCGCGUGUAUGAAGAAGGCCUUAGGGUUGUAAAGUACUUUCAUCGGGGAGGAAAAAACAAAACUAAUAAUUUUAUUUCUUGACGUUACCCGAAAAAGAAGCACCGGCUAACUCCGUGCCAGCAGCCGCGGUAAUACGGAGGGUGCUAGCGUUAAUCAGAAUUACUGGGCGUAAAGAGCACGUAGGUGGUUUUUUUAAGUCAGAUGUGAAAUCCCCUGGGCUUUAACCUAGGAACUGCAUUUUGAAACUGAAAUACUAGAGUAUCGUAGAGGGAGGUAGAAUUCUAGGUGUAGCGGUGAAAUGCGUAGAUAUCUGGAGGAAUACCUGUGGCGAAAGCGGCCUCCUAAACGAAUACUGACACUGAGGGUGCGAAAGCGUGGGGAGCAAACAGGGAUUAGAUA